rnacentral:pre_miRNA from 1 species
AAAAAGACAAACCCUGGUUUCCGUGUCUAAUGUUUGAUCAUCCGUCUUAUUUGAAAAAAUUAUGAAAAAAAUAAAAAAACAAGUCACGCAUAAAAUAUUAAUCAUGUUUUAUCAUCUAACAACAAUGAAAAUACGAAUUAUAAAAAAAUUUCAUAUAAAACGGACAGUUAAAAUUGGACAUAGAAACCCAGGGUUUGCCUUUCU